ACCACUGGAAACGGUGGCUAAUACCCAAUGUGCCGAGAGGUGAAAGGCUUGCUGCCUGAAGAAGAGCUUGCGUCUGAUUAGCUAGUUGGUGGGGUAAGAGCCUACCAAGGCGACGAUCAGUAGCUGGUCUGAGAGGAUGAUCAGCCACACUGGGACUGAGACACGGCCCAGACUCCUACGGGAGGCAGCAGUGGGGAAUUUUCCGCAAUGGGCGAAAGCCUGACGGAGCAAUACCGCGUGAGGGAGGAAGGCUCUUGGGUUGUAAACCUCUUUUCUCAGGGAAGAACAGAAUGACGGUACCUGAGGAAUAAGCAUCGGCUAACUCCGUGCCAGCAGCCGCGGUAAUACGGAGGAUGCAAGCGUUAUCCGGAAUGAUUGGGCGUAAAGGGUCCGCAGGUGGCAUUGUAAGUCUGCUGUUAAAGAGUCACGCUCAACGUGAUAAAAGCAGUGGAAACUACAAAGCUAGAGUAUGGUCGGGGCAGAGGGAAUUCCUGGUGUAGCGGUGAAAUGCGUAGAUAUCAGGAAGAACACCGGUGGCGAAGGCGCUCUGCUAGGCCAAAACUGACACUGAGGGACGAAAGCUAGGGGAGCGAAUGGGAUUAGAUACCCCAGUAGUC
rnacentral:rRNA from 1 species